AUAUAUCUAUAUAUUGUUUAUCAAUCUCAAUCAUAUUAUUAUAUUGAUACACAUAUCUUAUUUUUAAUUAAGUACUUAAUAAACUACACCAAUCCGAAAACAAUCUUUACUCUACAUAAAGUUACGUACAUAUAUAUUUUUUCAAAGCCUAAAUCGGUAAUCAUAUUUUGUUCCUUGUUGUCUUUUCCAUGCAUGGGACUAUAUCGCAAUCAAACAAAUUUUAAAUAAUCAUAAUCAUAAUUUUAAAUCGCAUUUUAAACCAUAAAAAUGUAAAAAAUGUAGCACUUUAAAUCUUGGUACUAAAAAACUCACACUUCAAACCCUCAAAC
rnacentral:lncRNA from 1 species